rnacentral:misc_RNA from 1 species
GCAAACUUGGUCAUUUAGAGGAAGUAAAAGUCGUAACAAGGUUUCCGUAGGUGAACCUGCGGAAGGAUCAUUAUCGAAUGAAACUAGAGUUGGUUGUCGCUGGCCCCUUCACUGGGGCAUGUGCACGCCUCCUCUAUUCAUCCACACACACCUGUGAACUUGUGAGACGGAUAGUAGCCCUUUCGGGGGCGAGGUCCGUCUGCUAUACAUAAACUCCAAUAUAUAAAUUUGAAUGUAAUUUGAUGUAACGCAUCUUUAAACUAAGUUUCAACAACGGAUCUCUUGGCUCUCGCAUCGAUGAAGAACGCAGC